UGGUCUGGGUGGGGCCUGAGAUUUGCAUUUCUAGCAAGUUCUCAGGUGAUACUGCUGCCUCACAGGCCA
rnacentral:miRNA from 1 species